rnacentral:rRNA from 1 species
AGCAUGUACUUAGCUUGCUAAGUUUGAUGGCGACCGGCGCACGGGUGAGUAACACGUAUCCAACCUGCCGAUGACUCGGGGAUAGCCUUUCGAAAGAAAGAUUAAUACCCGAUGGCAUAGUUCUUCCGCAUGGUAGGACUAUUAAAGAAUUUCGGUCAUCGAUGGGGAUGCGUUCCAUUAGCUUGUUGGCGGGGUAACGGCCCACCAAGGCAUCGAUGGAUAGGGGUUCUGAGAGGAAGGUCCCCCACAUUGGAACUGAGACACGGUCCAAACUCCUACGGGAGGCAGCAGUGAGGAAUAUUGGUCAAUGGGCGCUAGCCUGAACCAGCCAAGUAGCGUGAAGGAUGACUGCCCUAUGGGUUGUAAACUUCUUUUAUAUGGGAAUAAAGUGCAGUAUGUAUACUGCUUUGCAUGUACCUUAUGAAUAAGGAUCGGCUAACUCCGUGCCAGCAGCCGCGGUAAUACGGAGGAUCCGAGCGUUAUCCGGAUUUAUUGGGUUUAAAGGGAGCGUAGGCGGGUUGUUAAGUCAGUUGUGAAAGUUUGCGGCUCAACCGUAAAAUUGCAGUUGAUACUGGCAUCCUUGAGUACAGUAGAGGUAGGCGGAAUUCGUGGUGUAGCGGUGAAAUGCUUAGAUAUCACGAAGAACUCCGAUUGCGAAGGCAGCCUGCUGGACUGUAACUGACGCUGAUGCUCGAAAGUGUGGGUAUCAAACA